GACGAACGCUGGCGGCGUGCCUAACACAUGCAAGUCAACUUGAGGGAAGGAGCAAUCUGACCUGAUGGUGGCGCAAGGGUGCGUAACGCGUAAGUAACUUGCCCAAGGUAAGGAAUAACGUCGAGAAAUCGGCGCUAAUACCUCAUAAUGCAGCGGAUCCGCAUGGAUAUGUUGUUAAAGGUUUACCGCCUUGGGAUAGGCUUGCGUCUGAUUAGCUAGUUGGUGUGGUAAUGGCACACCAAGGCUACGAUCAGUAACUGGUCUGAGAGGAUGAUCAGUCACACUGGAACUGAGACACGGUCCAGACUCCUACGGGAGGCAGCAGUGAGGAAUAUUGGCAAGUGCACGAAAGUGUAGACCCAGCAACGCCGCGUGGAGGA
rnacentral:rRNA from 1 species